rnacentral:SRP_RNA from 1 species
UUGUGCUAGGCGGGGAGUUAGCGGUGCCCUUUUCCCGAAAUCCGCUCUAUGCGGGGCUGAAUUCCCUCUGGAGGGUUUUUACCUGGAAUUCUGUUUGCCAUUUUGACCGGCCGCCGCGCAACAGGCGGUUACGAACCUCGUCAGGUCCGGGAGGAAGCAGCGAUAAGUAAAUCAGCCUGUGUCGCGGAUCGAUUCCGGUCAUACAUGUGGCGGAUGUAUUUCAGAAAAAACUCGAUAGGGGGUGCACAA